UAGGGAAUCUUCCGCAAUGGGCGAAAGCCUGACGGAGCAACGCCGCGUGAGUGAUGAAGGUCUUCGGAUCGUAAAACUCUGUUAUUAGGGAAGAACAAAUGUGUAAGCAACUAUGCACGUCUUGACGGUACCUAAUCAGAAAGCCACGGCUAACUACGUGCCAGCAGCCGCGGUAAUACGUAGGUGGCAAGCGUUAUCCGGAAUUAUUGGGCGUAAAGCGCGCGUAGGCGGUUUUUUAAGUCUGAUGUGAAAGCCCACGGCUCAACCGUGGAAGGUCAUUGGAAACUGGAAAACUUGAGUGCAGAAGAGGAAAGUGGAAUUCCAUGUGUAGCGGUGAAAUGCGCAGAGAUAUGGAGGAACACCAGUGGCGAAGGCGACUUUCUGGUCUGUAACUGACGCUGAUGUGCGAAAGCGUGGGGAUCAAACAGG
rnacentral:rRNA from 1 species